CCGGUAAACGGCGGCCGUAACUAUAACGGUCCUAAGGUAGCGAAAUUCCUUGUCGGGUAAGUUCCGACCUGCACGAAUGGCGUAAUGAUGGCCAGGCUGUCUCCACCCGAGACUCAGUGAAAUUGAACUCGCUGUGAAGAUGCAGUGUACCCGCGGCAAGACGGAAAGACCCCGUGAACCUUUACUAUAGCUUGACACUGAACAUUGAGCCUUGAUGUGUAGGAUAGGUGGGAGGCUUUGAAGUGUGGACGCCAGUCUGCAUGGAGCCGACCUUGAAAUACCACCCUUUAAUGUUUGAUGUUCUAACGUUGGCCCGUUAUC
rnacentral:rRNA from 1 species